rnacentral:rRNA from 1 species
CCUACGGGUGGCUGCAGUGGGGAAUAUUGGACAAUGGGCGAAAGCCUGAUCCAGCCAUGCCGCGUGUGUGAAGAAGGCCUUCGGGUUGUAAAGCACUUUCAGUGGGGAAGAAAGCCUUGGGGCUAAUACCCUCGAGGAAGGACAUCACCCACAGAAGAAGCACCGGCUAACUCCGUGCCAGCAGCCGCGGUAAUACGGAGGGUGUGAGCGUUAAUCGGAAUUACUGGGCGUAAAGCGCGCGUAGGCGGUCUGAUAAGCCGGUUGUGAAAGCCCCGGGCUCAACCUGGGAACGGCAUCCGGAACUGUCAGGCUAGAGUGCAGGAGAGGAAGGUAGAAUUCCCGGUGUAGCGGUGAAAUGCGUAGAGAUCGGGAGGAAUACCAGUGGCGAAGGCGGCCUUCUGGACUGACACUGACGCUGAGGUGCGAAAGCGUGGGUAGCAAACAGGAUUAGAUACCCUUGUAGUC